UGGGGAAUUUUGGACAAUGGGGGCAACCCUGAUCCAGCAAUGCCGCGUGAGUGAAGAAGGCCUUCGGGUUGUAAAGCUCUUUUGUCAGGGAAGAAACGGUAGUAGCGAAUAACUACUACUAAUGACGGUACCUGAAGAAUAAGCACCGGCUAACUACGUGCCAGCAGCCGCGGUAAUACGUAGGGUGCAAGCGUUAAUCGGAAUUACUGGGCGUAAAGCGUGCGCAGGCGGUUGUGUAAGUCAGAUGUGAAAUCCCCGGGCUCAACCUGGGAAUUGCAUUUGAGACUGCACGGCUAGAGUGUGUCAGAGGGGGGUAGAAUUCCACGUGUAGCAGUGAAAUGCGUAGAUAUGUGGAGGAAUACCGAUGGCGAAGGCAGCCCCUGGGAUAACACUGACGCUCAUGCACGAAAGCGUGGGGAGCAAACAGGAUUAGAUACCCAGGUAGUCCCUGAGCGGGCUGGCAAGGCGCAU
rnacentral:rRNA from 1 species